AACGAACGCUGGCGGCAGGCUUAACACAUGCAAGUCGAGCGCAUCCUUCGGGGUGAGCGGCGGACGGGUUAGUAACGCGUGGGAACGUGCCCUCUUCUACGGAAUAGCCUCGGGAAACUGAGAUUAAUGCCGUAUACGCCCCGUGAGGGGGAAAGAUUUAUCGGAGGAGGAUCGGCCCGCGUUGGAUUAGGUAGUUGGUGGGGUAAUGGCCUACCAAGCCGACGAUCCAUAGCUGGUUUGAGAGGAUGAUCAGCAACACUGGAACUGACACACGGUCCAGACUCCUACGGGUGGCAG
rnacentral:rRNA from 1 species